rnacentral:lncRNA from 1 species
GAGGCAGACUACGUGAAAAUAAACAUCAGGCCCUAUAUUCCUAAUCCUAGACGGUGUUUUAAAUGCCAAAGAUUCGGUCACGCAUCCCACUCAUGCAGGGGAAAAGAAACAUGCGCAAAAUGCAGUGAAAACGACUACACAGCCAUAAACUGCGCAUCAUUGCCACUUUGUGUGAACUGUAAGGGGGAUCACCCAGCAUACUCCCGCUCAUGCCCAUCCUGGAAAAAAGAAAAAGAAGUAAUUGCUCUGACCGUCAAAAAAAGAUCUCGUUUUAUGAAGCGCGGAAACGGUUGUUGUACCUUUUCCGCAAAAGUUACACUGAUGUGACGCAGUCGGGGGCACCAUCACAGAGGCCUCAGACAUCCUCCGGGUCCACACAGAGUGGUCCAGUUGUGACUCCUUCCGCCCCCGUCAUGGAAGCAGCGUCUGCUGCUCCAUCCACCUCAAAGGGCCCUCAGACUCCGGUCUCCCUGGGCCCUAAAAUCACUCGAAUGCCAAGGCCCGAGAUCCACGUCUCAGCGCCGAACUCUCGAUCUUCCAGCGCCUCUGACAGGGCGAUGGAGAUCGACUGAAAACUUUAGUGUCAUCGACACCGAAGGACAUGCGCUCCCUGGAGCGCGCCAACUGGACAAGGUCCCAAUAACCACGCAAAGCAAGCGAUAAUCAUAAUGAUUAUCGCAUUUGUCUGUAGUUUGUUCUUAGUAAUGCUAAUAAUAUGUGUAUGUGGUUUGUACGUGUGUGUCAGGUAGCGCAGUUAUCCCUUUUGUCUUAAUAAUGUCACCUAUCAUCUUUUAAUUUAAUCGAACAAUCCCCACAGGUAUAUUUGCUUAAUUUUAUUCCAUCAUGGCUUUUAUCAUACAUUGGAACUGUAGAGGACUAAUGCAUAAUUUAGGUGACUCAAAGGACAUCAUCAAUAAGUUCUCACCAGUGGCUUUCUGCCUCCAAGAGACAAACCUAGGUGCAAAACAUGCUCAAUUUCUCAAGGGCUAUACAGUUGCCCGAAAGGGCCGUGAACGCUGUAGCCGUCUGUCAGGAGGAGUAGCUAUUGUUUUCCAGGGUGGCACUCCUACCCGAGAUGUCCAACUCAGUACAUCUUUCGAGGCCAUAGCAGUCACCAUUUUAUCGUACAAAACUAUUACCAUUUGUACACUUUAUAUCCCACCCCACACCCAUUUUACCACUAAAAACCUAGAAAAUCUAGUAGAACUGUUACCAAAGCCAUUUGUUUUGGUAGGGGAUUUUAAUGCUCAUUUUACUCUUUGGGGUAGUGACAAAGCUGAUCAAAGAGGGCAGGUCGUUGAAGAUUUUGUCUUGUCAAACGAUAUCUGCCUUUAAAACACAGGUGCUUUGACCUACUUUUCAGCAACCUCACGCACUUUUAGUUGUUUAGAUCUUGCUUUGUGCUCACCAUGUCUUUUUAACGAUCUUAAAUGGGAGGUCCUCGACACGUCAUAUGGUAGUGAUCACCAACCUGCCAUCAUCAAACUCAUGUCAUCCCACCAAACUUUAUCUAGCAGGCCACGCUGGUGGAAAUUGAAGCUCGCGAACUGGCCGCUUUUUACAGAAAAUGCAAAGCUUGAAGAAGUUUUCUCAUUGGAACUUUCUGUUGAGGAAGUUAACAAAAAGUUCAUCGAAAUUAUAAUCUCAGCGGCAGAAAAGGCGAUACCGCAGUCAUCCGGCAUUGUGCGCAUUAAACUAAAUCCUUGGUGGACAAGCGAGUGCACAGAGGCAAAAAACCAACAAAAUAAGUCCUGGGGAAUGCUAUGAAGAUACCCCACCUACACCAACAUCAUAAGCUUCAAACAGGCAAAAGCCAAAGCACGAUUUAUUCAUAGGCAGGCGGAAAAGGAUUCAUGGCAAAAAUAUAUAUCAUCAAUUAAUAGUUCGGUCACACCAAAAUGUAUCUGGGACCAGGUGAGGAAGUUUAGAGGAGAAGACUCAUCGUACACAAUACCACUUCUUACAAGUCCAGACACAAACAACACUACAAGACCAGGCCAACCUAUUAGGCGAACACUUUUACGAGGUAUCAUCUUCAGGGAAUUACACAAACGCUUUCCUCAAAUACAAAGAAACGUCUGAAAGACACAGACUGCCGACACAGACUGGGGGCGUGGAACUGGUGCGGAUAUGACUGCACCGCUUACGCUUACGCUGUUCUUUCUGCAAGUACUGCUCCGAUCAACCAUAAGCAAACCAGUUUUCCAACUACAGCCUGAUGACUUAUCAGCUCAGUUUUUGCCGGACGGUGAACCUUUGUUCAACUGCUCGACAUGGGAAUCAAGCGACAUUGACCAAAACGACGGAAAUCAACGAGUGCGCCUCGCAGCUGAAAUUGGCCGCUGCCGGUCAACCAACCGUGGACUGAUCGCACAGACGACUGCAGCCUACAAAUAGCACGGAUCUUCACUCGGCGCUUGGGGCAUUGAACCGGUGCAGAUAUGACUGCACUGCUUACGCUUACGCUGUUAUUUCUGCAGGCUGACCACCAAAACAGUGUGAAUCUGGGUCCUUAGGAGCUUGAAUGCCACCAGGUACCAAUGCUCUGCUCGUUGUGGACAAGUACGACGAAGACAGCACCUGCCUUUGUGCAAUACUUCUGAAUGCUUCUUCAUUGUGACUAAUGCAAAACUGUUGUGCAAUUUAACCUUUGUUUACUUCACUAAAAUAAUAAAUGAGCCCAACAAUUACAAGAGCAAGCCUGGAAGUGUGGAGACUUCAUAUUACUACUUUGACUAAAAAAUAAUAAAAAUAUAGUUUUUUAAUGCA